rnacentral:rRNA from 1 species
UACGAAGGGGGCUAGCGUUGCUCGGAAUUACUGGGCGUAAAGGGCGCGUAGGCGGGUCGUUUAGUUAGAGGUGAAAGCCCAGGGCUCAACCCUGGAAUUGCCUUUAAUACUGGCGGCCUUGAGUAUGGCAGAGGUGUGUGGAACUCCGAGUGUAGAGGUGAAAUUCGUAGAUAUUCGGAAGAACACCAGUGGCGAAGGCGACACACUGGGCCAUUACUGACGCUGAGGCGCGAAAGCGUGAGGAGCAAACAGG